UUUUCGGUGCAGGAUGAGCCCGCGGCCUAUCAGCUUGUUGGUGGGGUAAUGGCCUACCAAGGCGACGACGGGUAGCCGGCCUGAGAGGGUGAUCGGCCACACUGGGACUGAGACACGGCCCAGACUCCUACGGGAGGCAGCAGUGGGGAAUAUUGCACAAUGGGCGAAAGCCUGAUGCAGCGACGCCGCGUGGGGGAUGACGGUCUUCGGAUUGUAAACCCCUUUCAGUAGGGACGAAGCGCAAGUGACGGUACCUGCAGAAGAAGCACCGGCUAACUACGUGCCAGCAGCCGCGGUAAUACGUAGGGUGCGAGCGUUGUCCGGAAUUACUGGGCGUAAAGAGCUCGUAGGCGGUUUGUCACGUCGUCUGUGAAAUCCCUCGGCUUAACCGGGGGCGUGCAGGCGAUACGGGCAGACUUGAGUACUACAGGGGAGACUGGAAUUCCUGGUGUAGCGGUGAAAUGCGCAGAUAUCAGGAGGAACACCGGUGGCGAAGGCGGGUCUCUGGGUAGUAACUGACGCUGAGGAGCGAAAGCAUGGGUAGCGAACAGGAUUAGAUACCCUGGUAGUCCAUGCCGUAAACGGUGGGCGCUAGGUGUGGGGUCC
rnacentral:rRNA from 1 species